AUUAAAGGGCCGCAGUAUUUUAACUGUGCAAAGGUAGCAUAAUCAUUAGGUUUUUAAUUGAAAUCUUGUAUGAAUGGCUCGACAAAAAAAAUUCUGUCUCUAUAUUAAAUUUUGAAUUUAACUUUUAAGUGAAAAGGCUUAAAUGUAUUAAAGGGACGAUAAGACCCUAUAAAACUUAACAUUGUAGUUAUAUUUAAUUGAAUUUUAAAAUAAUGAUUUAAUAAUAUUAAAUGUUUUGUUGGGGAGACAAAGGUAAAAUGUAUUUUAACUGCUUUAUAUUAAAACAAAUAUUUAUGAUAAUAAAAUGAUCCUUUAUAAAGAUUUUUAGAUUAAGUUACUUUAGGGAUAACAGCGUAAUUUUUUUUUAAGAGUUCUUAUCGAAAAAAGAGUUUGCGACCUCGAUGUUGAAUU
rnacentral:rRNA from 1 species